rnacentral:rRNA from 1 species
UGAGUAACACGUGGGGAACCUGCCCCAUAGUCUGGGAUACCACUUGGAAACAGGUGCUAAUACCGGAUAAGAAAGCGGAUCGCAUGAUCAGCUUUUAAAAGGCGGCGUAAGCUGUCGCUAUGGGAUGGCCCCGCGGUGCAUUAGCUAGUUGGUAAGGUAACGGCUUACCAAGGCGACGAUACGUAGCCGACCUGAGAGGGUGAUCGGCCACACUGGAACUGAGACACGGUCCAGACUCCUACGGGAGGCAGCAGGC